UCUCUUUAGAUCUGACAGUUCCGUCGUCGCGUAUGCGUGUGGGGAAAUCGUUUGUGUCAUUUCUGUCCGUGUUUCUAACGCACCUUGCGCACACAUUUGAUGCCUGUACAACUCUACUCGAAAGUCUAUUUAUGUAAAAUAUCCUAGACGUAAGAUGUACAUGUGUCGUAUCACUUGCAAAUGUUACGUAAAAAUGUCACGAUUCAUCCAGACAACGAAACGCGACGCGACGGUGUAAAAAGCCGAGAUAAAUUUAUACCAAACGGAUGUGUGUAACGUUAUUUUCUUACCCAAUUGCGUGAAGCAAAUUAUCGGCUGUGAGAGGUUUACGUUCAUGCGAUUGAUCGUCGAUCGUGCAGCCGAAUGUAAAUUAGUGGGUGCAGCUACGCCUUUUCACGGUUAAAGUCGUGAUACGUGAUACCGUCGUUUCAACGUUUUAUUCACCUUUAAAAUCGGUACAUAAAUUCUUUACUCAGCGGAUUAACUUGUAUCAUAAACUCUAUGAAACAUGUACGUAUCGUUAUUUUUUUUUUUUUUUAUCUUGAACCACGACUCGAUGAAAUCGCGUUCAAGCACAGAAACCCACGAAUAUUAGACAUUGUUGUUUGAUGUGUAACUUUCCUUGCGGGUUACGCAAUUCUGAUAACAGAACCAUCGAUUAUUCUGUUCUGUUAUUUAAUCUAAAGAAAUUUCGCUGAUUUCGUGGUAAUAUCUGGCAAAGCCGAAUUAAUCGAAAUAAUAAGGAAAAUUUUAAAUGUGGGGUAUAUAAAGCAAACGGACCUGAAUCUCGGUAACAAAAGCGAAAUUUUUGUUGCAUUACAAACCCACACCCAUAACCUACAUUACAACUGGCACGCCUCCUCCACGUGGUUUAAAUAUGGGCCAGCCUGCAAGUUUGACGCGAAACCAUAACGCGCACAAUUCAACGCUGAGAUGCAAAACGACGCGGCUAGGGAAACACUGACAUACGACGCUGCGCGAAUUCGGCGUAUACUGGUGAAGAUUGCCGAGAUGCCAGGCGCGCGAAUCUGGACCGAAAGGGACGAUACUAUUCCUCCGAGUGGUAACCGAGUCCCGAGGGAACCGUGGGAGAGCCGCGAAGUUCCGCGGACAAAGCUGAAAGCUCUUCGAGCUUUCGGGCGGUAAGCAAGGUGCGCCCCGGAAUUCCAACUCCACUCCAAGAUCGCCGGCAUUCGAUUGAUCAGCGAAUCGGGAAACUGACUUCGCGGUCGAAAAGCUUCGCUACGAUGCCAACAAUUUCAGGAUUUGUAUUUGCGGAAUAUUCAGCGAGAAGAGUGUCGUUUAAAUAUUCAAAAACACCGAAACACUGAGCUUGAUCGAGUUUUAAUCGAACUUCUAAACAUACGGUUUAAACUUUUUUUUUCUCUCAUUGAUGCUAUAUUAUUCCUUUUAACACAGGUGAAAAUCGUGACUCUGUUGAUGAAAGUUCAUUCUUAUUUGUUACAUGGUGAAAAUAUAAGUGAAAAAUUUUGUCCCACAUGUUAGAAAUGCGACAUUCGCUUCGCGUAUUCUGUGCACGACUGCACGGUUAUCUAGCCUGUAUGACAAAAGUUGGAAAAAGUGGGAAAUGCGGUCGCUGCGAGUCGCGCAGAAGCUGAAUUUUCAUUUAUACGACGAUGAAGAAUCGCGUGGUGUGAUGGCAACCAAUAACGACGGCGGCGGUUCAUUCAAACGCGGUCAAAAAAAAAAAGUUCGAGGGAGUGUUCGUGAAGGAUUGUACCAGAUCACGGCUCUCGGAAUUAACACGUUGUGAGAAAUUGAUGGUUUUUCGAAUGGCGAGAGUUAAUUCUACCGGGAUACUGGACGAGCGACAAAUGCGUCGUUUUGAUUGAAAUUUCUGCACUUCACCGUAUACGAAUGUGAAACAAAGUGCGAGUUUAUUCAAACCCAGAGUAUAAUUGCCAGUCGUGAUUCGUGGAAUUCGACUCUAGCGCCUUUUUCUAUUCAAGUAUUAUACAUAUAAAGCAAACGAGAAUGACCAAAUGGCGACAUUGUUGUAUUUUUAUCAAUAAAAACGUCGAUGUUCAA